UGGGGAAUAUUGCACAAUGGGCGCAAGCCUGAUGCAGCCAUGCCGCGUGUAUGAAGAAGGCCUUAGGGUUGUAAAGUACUUUCAGCGGGGAGGAAGGUGAUAAGGUUAAUACCCUUGUCAAUUGACGUUACCCGCAGAAGAAGCACCGGCUAACUCCGUGCCAGCAGCCGCGGUAAUACGGAGGGUGCAAGCGUUAAUCGGAAUUACUGGGCGUAAAGCGCACGCAGGCGGUCAAUUAAGUCAGAUGUGAAAGCCCCGAGCUUAACUUGGGAAUUGCAUCUGAAACUGGUUGGCUAGAGUCUU
rnacentral:rRNA from 1 species